UAUUUUAUUCAUCAGAUACAUGAGCCAAAGAUCUUAUUUUAUGUUUAUAUCCAUUUCAGAAUCUGAAGGAACAACUGUGAAAAGCCUGUGCAGACACCGUCUGAAAUCCUGUCCCUGUCAAGACACAAAAUGACCUCAGCAAAGAAGAAGCCAAAACAAUUCCUUGAUUUUGGGAGAAAAAUGAUUCAGC
rnacentral:lncRNA from 1 species